AUGCGAUAAGUAAUGUGAAUUGCAGAAUUCAGUGAAUCAUCGAAUCUUUGAACGCACCUUGCGCUCCUUGGUAUUCCUUGGAGCAUGCCUGUUUGAGUGUCAUGAAAUCUUCAAAGUAAAUCUUUUGUUAACUCAAUUGGUUUCUACUUUGGUAUUGGAGGUCUUUGCAGCUUCACACCUGCUCCUCUUUGUUCAUUAGCUGGAUCUCAGUGUUAUGCUUGGUUCCACUCGGCGUGAUAAGUUAUCUAUCGCUGAGGACACUGUAAAAGGUGGCCAAGGUAAAUGCAGAUGAACCGCUUCUAAUAGUCCAUUGACUUGGACAAUACUUUUAUGAUCUGAUCUCAAAUCAGGUAGGACUACCCGCUGAACUUAAGC
rnacentral:misc_RNA from 1 species